rnacentral:tRNA from 1 species
CAAAAAAUAGUUUAUUUAUAGAAUAUUAAUUUUGGGGAUUAAUGGAGUAUAGUUAUAUAUUUUUUUGA